CGCGCAUAACCAGUUUAGUGACGCAGGAAGCACUAGUUUAAAUUUAUCCGGUUUUGGUUGGCUGGACGGCUGGUAAAAACAGAGUAUAUCAUCGAUAAUAUUAGCAUUAGAGUCAUAUAAAAUGUUAUUUAGUUAUCUACUCAAUGCAUAAUUCUCAGAACAAUGAUAGGCAAUAGACCUACCUGGUGUUAUAUAUUUUUGCUUUUGACGCGGCCCCAUCAACUCGGUCCAUAGAGGCGAGAGAGGAGUCAUCUGCCAUCAGACAGACUGAAAGAAAGACCGUAACGACGGAUCAGCUCGUGUGUUAUUUAGGAUCCCUGCAGAUCGUAGAGGUGGCCAAUCUACUUGGGUUCCCCUUUUCUGUUGUCUCUCGUGGAGGGAGAGAGAACAUCAGCUUACACAUCCAUUGAGAUGCAGUCUGCAGAUGGAGACGUUCCAGAAAACAACUAUUUAUUAUCAGCCUCCACACACCUGUUGAACAUGCACAGAAACCUCAAAACAUGCACUCCCAUUGUUUAAACCGAGGGUUUUUAUUUUUGCUUUGUGAUUUAAAUGUGUAUUUUGUGAAUUCUUAAGAAUCUGUAUAGUGCAACAUCAUUCUGUUAUUCUGAUUUGUAAAAGUCUGUCUUCAGGAUUCAGGAUUUACAAUGAACUGGUAUGUCAAAAUGGAUCCUGCAGAUCAUUUCAUCUCUAUCAACAUUUAUUAAAUUAAUUAAAAUGAUAAACCAUAAAGGGAAUAUGUCCACUGUAAGAACCACUU
ensembl:lncRNA